UACGGAGGAUGCAAGCGUUAUCCGGAAUCAUUGGGCGUAAAGCGUCCGUAGGCGGCUUUUCAAGUCUGCCGUCAAAGACCGGGGCUUAACCCCAGAAAGGCGGUGGAAACUGAAUAGCUAGAGUGCGGUAGGGGUAGAGGGAAUUCCCGGUGUAGCGGUGAAAUGCGUAGAGAUCGGGAAGAACACCGGUGGCGAAAGCGCUCUACUGGACCGUAACUGACACUCAGGGACGAAAGCUAGGGGAGCGAAUGGG
rnacentral:rRNA from 1 species